rnacentral:rRNA from 1 species
UCUGACGACCAUAGCCUCCUGGCCCCACCCCUUCCCAUCCCGAACAGGACCGUGAAACAGGAGCGCGCCGAUGAUAGUGCCCGUCCGGGUGCGAAAGUAGGUCAUCGUCAGAC